rnacentral:rRNA from 1 species
AACGAACGCUGGCGGCAUGCCUAACACAUGCAAGUCGAACGAGAUCUUCGGGUCUAGUGGCGCACGGGUGCGUAACGCGUGGGAAUCUGCCCUUUGGUUCGGAAUAACAGUUGGAAACGACGGCUAAUACCGGAUGAUGACGAAAGUCCAAAGAUUUAUCGCCAGAGGAUGAGCCCGCGUAGGAUUAGCUAGUUGGUGUGGUAAAGGCGCACCAAGGCGACGAUCCUUAGCCGGUCUGAGAGGAUGAUCAGCCACACUGGGACUGAGACACGGCCCAGACUCCUACGGGAGGCAGCAGUGGGGAAUAUUGGACAAUGGGCGAAAGCCUGAUCCAGCAAUGCCGCGUGAGUGAUGAAGGCCUUAGGGUUGUAAAGCUCUUUUACCCGGGAUGACAAUGACAGUACCGGGAGAAUAAGCUCCGGCUAACUCCGUGCCAGCAGCCGCCGUAACAC